UGUUAAUUCGUCAGGAUGAUGUCCAUUGUGGUGGUGCUGGCUUGCUGAUGCU
rnacentral:lncRNA from 1 species